rnacentral:lncRNA from 1 species
AGUAGAUCCACUGCCUUUGGUUGGGCCGGCUGAAUCGCUGGGGACUGCGGCCAGUCUCUUAAAAAAGGAGAACAAAAAGCCGAAGACCUUGUGUGGCCGCCGGGACAAAGCACCUUGGGUUCGGCGAGAAGGGACGCGCAGGAGCGCUGAACCCAGAACACGCGUGGCCGCUGCGGAAGGGCGUCCGCCCGGCGUGCGGAACGCUGAGGGGACUCUCAUCCUCUGUCUCGCCCCCUUUUUUUGACCCGGGGAUCCAGCCGCAUUAUACACGAGUGACCUUUUAAAUCUACGUCCACCCUUUACCUGCGAGAGGACUGCAGCAGGCGAGUUCCGGAAGGCUGAAUCCCCAGGUCCCAGCCCCGGACCGCGGCAACUCGCCCCUGCGGCACGCCCGGCCCGGCUGCGCCCCCACUCAGCGAUGGAGGAAAAAGCCUGGAUGCGAAAGGAUGGGGGAGAACAAAGAGCCUUUGGAAGACGUCGCUGUUAUCUCAUUGUCUGUGUGAUUGGGGGAGCUGCGGCGGGGAGGAUGCUGUGGUCCCUUCCUCCGGCGUUCCCCACCCCCAUCCCUCUCCCCGCUGUCAGUGCGCACGCACACGCGCCGCUUUUUAUUUCUUUUUCCUGGUUUUCUUAUUCCAUCUUCUACCCACCCCUCUUCCUUUCUUUCACCUUUCCUUCCUUCCUUCCUCCUUUCCUUCCUCAGGAGAAAGGCCUCUCUCUCCGUGUUCACAGCGGACCUUGAUUUAAAUGUCCAUACAAUUAAGGCACGCGGUGAAUGCCAAGAAUGGGGCUGGCUGAGCACCGUGGGUCGGCGAGGGCCCGCCAAGGAAGGAGCGACCGACCGAGCCAGGCGCCCUCCGCAGACCUCCGCGCAGCGGCCGCGGGCGCGAGGGGAGGGGUCUGGAGCUCCCUCCGGCUGCCUGUCCCGCACCGGAGCCCGUGGGGUGGGGAGGUGUGCAGCCUGUGACAGACAGGGGCUUAGAGAUGCAAACAGACUCAGGGAGAGAAACAGAAGCUGAUUCUGUGACAGAAGCAGAUCUGUGCAGCACAGAUGCGGUGUGCGUGGGGAGGGGGUCGCCUGGGAGCGCAUUGCGGAGUGCUUGUGUGUGCAGAUUUUUCUCUGGGCUCAGGACUCAUUGUAUGUGGGUCAACACCUUCCUCCGUGACUGUGUUUUUGUUCUGAGCUGAGUUUUUUGGUUUGCCCUUAAAAAAAUAAUAAUUUGGCAUCCAGAGACUGGCAGACUGCCUCAGGGCCUGGACUGCGGAUAUAUUGUGUUCUGCUUGAGGUUUGGGGAGGAGGGCAGGCGGUAGGAAGGGAGAGGGGGAGCUGUUUGUCACACUUUGCUGUAGAGCUGAGAGCACCUGACAAGCUUAAGGAAGUCGUUGGGCUAUGUGGACAAGAAGGAGCCAGCUCCCAGCGGGUUCACAAGCUCUAUCGGAGUUGAAAGCGUGGUCAUGGCUCUAAGGAGCACCUCACGCCCUCCCUGUAGCUGUUAUUGCAGUUUCAGGCAGAGAUCCAGGAGCUGCAGAGGAAGGGAGAGGCACAAUAACCUACAUGGACCCAAGGGAGACAUGUGUUCCUUUAAAAAUGUGAACAGAAGGAAAAACAGAAUGUGUGCAACUGGGGGUCUGAGGAAAGACUGUUUUGAAAGAGGCUGUCAGGGAAUGGAAAGGGUUAAGCUUUUCAUCCUGAAGAACCUGCUUCCCAAAUCAGGCCUUCCUCCCAUCACUAGACCCUGAGCAGCAGCUGGUCCUAGAGACCCCCCUCGUACUGCGCUGCCACAGUCUCAUCCCAUUUCCAGCUCUGUAUUAACCACCAAGCUGCAGCGGAUGGGGCAAGACCUAAGCUCAUUAAUUUCCAGGUGGAGGAAAUGGAGGAGGGGCAGGUCCCUGCAGUAGAGGGAGGAGCAGAGAAAGGAGGCCAAGAGCUGGAUCCUUCUGCCCAGGAAGCCUGCUGCAUCCCUUCCCCCGAGCAUGGCAGAGGCCUGGCUUUGCAAGGCCAAGGCCAUAAGGGAUGCUUAGGAGAUUAAUUUGAUUCCUGACACAAUAAUCAAGCCCUAAGAGUCUCCACUGAAGCUUACUGAGGACUUCUUUCCUCUCCAAAGCCUCAGUCUAGCCUGCUAAAUAAAUUAGUAUUCAGUGAUGCCUUGGAUCAGGGCCCCUCCCCGGCCUCAGUUUCCCCAAAUAUUUAUUAAGUACCUACUGUGUGCAAUCCUUGUGUAAUUAUUAACUCUUAGGCUCUUCAUUUGCCCUCCUAAAGCAGUGUUUAGAGUCAGGCAGAGGUUAAGUGUGUUGCACCUCACCUAGAUACUUCCAGAACCUUCUCUGGGUCUGCAGAAUGUGGCACAACCUGCUUGCCCCCGCAGAGAGAAAGCUGCAGUGCACAUCCUGCAGACUGCAGGUGCUGGGCUGCCUCUGGAGUCCCAGAAGGCAAGCUUGGCUGCAGGACAGAAAGGGAGAACAGCUUCUCUCACCCCUGAGCCUUCACAAGCCCUUGUCUAUUUGCCGUUGCCUUCAAAAUAUACCUCCCCCGAAACCAGUAGCUUUCUGAGUCCUGGUGUCCCCUCCGCCCUUUCUGGACAGGUUUGGGAAGAAGAAAGCAGUCAGUGCUGGGCCUUAUUGGGGUGUGAAGCGCCUUGCUCUGCCCCUUCUGCUCACUGUGAAGGCCGCUGGAUGCUUCUCUUAGGCAUGGUUUAAGCCUCCGAUUACUAAACCCCUUGCCCCACAAACGUCCACAUUGACGAGCCUCUUUUUAGUAACUGCUUCCCCGUAAUUCCUUCAGAGGUUGCUGUACCCUUCGCUGAUGUGCUGCCCUCCUGUAAAACCUCCAGAUGCCUUCCCACGUAAUGCCCCUUUCAGAUGCUUUAAGCUGAGAGCUUAAACCACAGGUACCAUGGCUGACGCCUGCCAGGUUUCUGCUGCAGAUAAUCUAUGAUGGGAGGGGCAUAUUUUUUACUUCAUUACUUAUGUAAACUCUUGUUCCAGAAAGCUUUAAUGUGUGUGGGAGUGUUCUGGGUCUAUUAGGUCUGUGCGCAUGGGUGUGGGCAUUUGCCUGUGUCCACCGGGUGGGUCUCAUUAUGAAAUGUAUGUUUAUGUAGGGCUUUAAUGGCUGAAAAUGGCAAAGAGAUGAAUAGACCACUUGGCCCCAUGUGUAAUUGCCAGGCCCCUUCUGUGCUCAAAUGAGGUGUCCGAGUGAAGGUCAGCCCUUCCCUUCUGUAUUUGGGGCCUAUUUAUGCCACCAGUAAUUUUAUAAGAAAUCUGAAUAGUUCUCCCCUUUGAGUGCAUUUAACUCUUUAGUAUCUUCUCUCUUACCUAUUUGAGCCCCUCUAGCUACAGUCUGGCUUAAAUGAAAGGGGAAUUAUAUGCUUAAGAAAAAGUAGGACACGGUUGAGGCAGUUUGCUGACUGAAUACGCGAAGAAGGACCUGAUGGGCUCAUAUGCACCACUGCCAUCACAGUCCCCAUCGUGAUGCAAGCUUAUAUGAUUCUUGAGGUAACUCUACCAGAUACUUCCAGAUUUAGAAAUGUGUCAAAGGAAAAAUUGGUGAUACUCUUCUUUCCCCUGCCAGAAACAGCCCAGAUCUCCUCUUAAGCGGAAAAGAGAUUGACCUUCUAGCAGAGGCAAAGCCUUCUACUCCUACCUCAGCAUCUUGCCGCCUUCAUGUGGACAAUUAAUCAACAGCAACAGCAUA